AUGAGUGGACCAGUGGAUGGACGCACAGAGAAGGAGCCACUGGCCGUAGUGAUUGUGUAUGCAUUUGACUGCACCACAUCGACCCCGGACUGGUACAAGGUAGACAAUGUGUUUUGGUUGGUGCAAGAGAAGCUCACCCGCAUCAGGGGUAGCAGCCUCGGCUACACAUACGUCAUGUCAACCCCUAAUACUUACACGUCGGAUAUGAAAUUAGUUGACUCUGCUGAGAUAAACGGAAAUGGCUACAAAAGUAGCCCGUCCUGGAAAAGGACUGCCUGUGUCAAAAAUAUGACAUCUGGACUCUAUGAAGCACAUAGACUAAUCAAUGAAAACGGGAACAUGAAUGCAAUCAUCUUGUUAUUUUCUGAUGGGUUGGUUAACAAGGGCGACUUCUUUGAUGGAGCUGAGGACUUCCUCUCCAGUGUGCCCGUCUACACGUUUACCCUUGGCGGAAAUGCAUAUAACCAGGGUCUUCGCACCAUCGCAGCAAAUUCCCCAGGUGGGAUGUUCAGCCCCCUCCCUCUUCCAGACUUUCCAAGCCUAUCUGCGCCCUUCUCCCAACUCUUGGAUAACAUCCUUAAUGAUACCACGAUGCACAGUGAGAAGAAUCCUAGUCCCACUUCCGGGAGGUGGCCGUUAAAUGUAGUGAUUGUGUCAGCAUUUGAUUGCACCACCUCGACCCCAGCUUGGAACAAGGUGAAUCGUGAGGUCUAUUGGUUGGUGCAAAAGAAGCUAACCCAAUUUGUUCAUAGUUGCCUUGGCUACACAUAUGUCAUGUCCACCCCAAACACGUACACAUCUGAGAUGAAACUGGUUGACCCCAUGGAGAUAGAGGCAAGUGGGUACCCAAGAAGCUCAGCCUGGCGAAGGGAUGCUUGCACGAACAACAUGGCAGCUGGUCUCAUCGAGGCACACAGACUGAUCAGCGAGCACGGGCACCUGAAUGGCAUCAUCUUGCUCUUCUCUGAUGGGUUGAUUAACAAGGGCGACUUCUUUGAUGGAGUUCAGGGCUUCAUCUCCAAAGUUCCAGUUCACACAUUUACUCUUGGCGGAGAUGCAUAUAACCAAGAUCUUUUCACCAUCGCAAUAAAUUCACCGGGAGGCACGUUUCACACCCUCCCUGUCCCGGAAAAACCGAGUCUAUCGGUGCCUUUUUUGAGGCUGGUGGAUACCAUCCUCAGUGGCGCAGGGAAGUGGCCACUAGACGUGGUGAUUGUGUAUGCAUUUGACAGUACCACCUCAACCCCAGAUUAUAAAACUGUGGACAAUAUCUUUUGGUUGGUGCAAGAGAAGCUCAUCCGUCUCGUGGAUAGCUGCCUUGGUUACACUUAUGUCAUGUCAACCCCGAACACGUGCACGUCUGAUAGGAAAAUAGUUGAUUCGACCGAUACAGAGUUAAAAGGCUACAAAAGAAGCCCGUCCUGGAGACGGUCCGCCUGCACGAAGAACAUGGCGUCUGGCCUCUUCGAGGCCCACAAACUGAUCAGCUACCGUGGACACUGGAAUAGCAUCAUCUUGCUCUUCUCCGAUGGGCUGAUCAACAAAGGAGACUACUUUGAUGGAGCCGAGGACUUCGUCUCCAAAGUACCUGUCCACACGUUUACUCUCGGCGGAGACGCGAACAACCACGUUCUUCAUGCCAUGGCAAAGAAUUCCCCUGGUGGGAUGUUUCACCCCCUCCAGGUCCCUGAUAAGCCGAAUCUACCAGCACCCUUCUCGCAACUGCUGGACAACAUCCUCAACGGUACCACGAGAUCCACCUAG
rnacentral:rRNA from 1 species